GGCGGACGGGUGAGUAAUGCUUAGGAAUCUGCCUAUUAGUGGGGGACAACAUCUCGAAAGGGAUGCUAAUACCGCAUACGUCCUACGGGAGAAAGCAGGGGAUCUUCGGACCUUGCGCUAAUAGAUGAGCCUAAGUCGGAUUAGCUAGUUGGUGGGGUAAAGGCCUACCAAGGCGACGAUCUGUAGCGGGUCUGAGAGGAUGAUCCGCCACACUGGGACUGAGACACGGCCCAGACUCCUACGGGAGGCAGCAGUGGGGAAUAUUGGACAAUGGGGGGAACCCUGAUCCAGCCAUGCCGCGUGUGUGAAGAAGGCCUUUUGGUUGUAAAGCACUUUAAGCGAGGAGGAGGCUACUCUAGUUAAUACCUAGGGAUAGUGGACGUUACUCGCAGAAUAAGCACCGGCUAACUCUGUGCCAGCAGCCGCGGUAAUACAGAGGGUGCAAGCGUUAAUCGGAUUUACUGGGCGUAAAGCGCGCGUAGGUGGCCAAUUAAGUCAAAUGUGAAAUCCCCGAGCUUAACUUGGGAAUUGCAUUCGAUACUGGUUGGCUAGAGUAUGGGAGAGGAUGGUAGAAUUCCAGGUGUAGCGGUGAAAUGCGUAGAGAUCUGGAGGAAUACCGAUGGCGAAGGCAGCCAUCUGGCCUAAUACUGACACUGAGGUGCGAAAGCAUGGGGAGCAAACAGGAUUAGAUACCCUGGUAGUCCAUGCCGUAAACGAUGUCUACUAGCCGUUGGGGCCUUUGAGGCUUUAGUGGCGCAGCUAACGCGAUAAGUAGACCGCCUGGGGAGUACGGUCGCAAGACUAAAACUCAAAUGAAUUGACGGGGGCCCGCACAAGCGGUGGAGCAUGUGGUUUAAUUCGAUGCAACGCGAAGAACCUUACCUGGUCUUGACAUAGUAAGAACUUUCCAGAGAUGGAUUGGUGCCUUCGGGAACUUACAUACAGGUGCUGCAUGGCUGUCGUCAGCUCGUGUCGUGAGAUGUUGGGUUAAGUCCCGCAACGAGCGCAACCCUUUUCCUUAUUUGCCAGCGGGUUAAGCCGGGAACUUUAAGGAUACUGCCAGUGACAAACUGGAGGAAGGCGGGGACGACGUCAAGUCAUCAUGGCCCUUACGACCAGGGCUACACACGUGCUACAAUGGUCGAUACAAAGGGUUGCUACCUAGCGAUAGGAUGCUAAUCUCAAAAAGCCGAUCGUAGUCCGGAUUGGAGUCUGCAACUCGACUCCAUGAAGUCGGAAUCGCUAGUAAUCG
rnacentral:rRNA from 1 species